CAGCAGCCGCGGUAAUACGUAGGUGGCGAGCGUUAUCUGGAAUUACUGGGCGUAAAGGGUGUGUAGGUGGCUGCCAUAGUCGGGCGUGAAAUCCCGGGGCUUAACCUCGGGUUUGCGUUCGAUACUUGGUGGCUGGAGUGCGGGAGAGGGAAGUGGAAUUCCCGGUGUAGCGGUGAAAUGCGUAGAUAUCGGGAGGAACCCCGGUGGCGAAGGCGGCUUCCUGGCCCGUUACUGACGCUGAGGCACGAAAGCCAGGGGAGCGAACCGGAUUAGAUACCCGGGUAGUCCUGGCUGUAAACCAUGGGCGCUAGGUGUGGGUGGUGGUGAGCCAUCUGUGCCGAAGCUAACGCGUUAAGCGCCCCGCCUGGGGAGUACGGUCGCAAGGCUGAAACUUAAAGGAAUUGGCGGG
rnacentral:rRNA from 1 species